rnacentral:rRNA from 1 species
UACGUAGGGCGCAAGCGUUGCCCGGAAUUAUUGGGCGUAAAGAGCUCGUAGGCGGCCAACUAAGUCAGACGUGAAAUCCCCAGGCUUAACCUGGGAACUGCGUCUGAUACUGGAUGGCUUGAGAUUGGGAGAGGGAUGCGGAAUUCCAGGUGUAGCGGUGAAAUGCGUAGAUAUCUGGAGGAACACCGGUGGCGAAGGCGACAUCCUGGACCAACACUGACGCUGAGGAGCGAAAGCCAGGGGAGCAAACGGG